rnacentral:rRNA from 1 species
GACUUGACAUGCAUGGAUUAACUCCUGGAAACAGGAGCCAGGCCUUCGGGUACAACGUGCACAGGUGCUGCAUGGCUGUCGUCAGCUCGUGUCGUGAGAUGUCGGGUUAAGUCCCUUAACGAGCGAAACCCUUGUCUCUAGUUGCCAGCGGGUCAUGCCGGGAACUCUAGAGAGACUGCCGGUGUUAAACCGGAGGAAGGUGGGGAUGACGUCAAGUCCUCAUGGCCUUUAUGAUUAGGGCUGCACACGUCCUACAAUGGCGCGAACAAAGGGAAGCAAACUCGCGAGAGCAAGCAAAUCCCAAAAAACGCGCCUCAGUUCGGAUUGCAGGCUGCAACUCGCCUGCAUGAAGCCGGAAUCGCUAGUAAUCGCGGGUCAGCAUACCGCGGUGAAUAUGUUCCUGAGCC